UGCAAGUCGAACGGAAAGGCCCUGCUUUGCAGGGUACUCGAGUGGCGAACGGUUGAGUAACACGUGGGUGAUCUGCCCUGAACUUCGGGAUAAGCCUGGGAAACUGGGUCUAAUACCGGAUAGGACCAUCGUUUAGUGUCGGUGGUGGAAAGUUUUUUCGGUGUGGGAUGAGCUCGCGGCCUAUCAGCUUGCUGGUGGGGUAAUGGCCUACCUUGGCG
rnacentral:rRNA from 1 species